rnacentral:rRNA from 1 species
GUAGGUGGCAAGCGUUGUCCGGAAUUAUUGGGCGUAAAGCGCGCGCAGGCGGGUUCUUUAAGUCUGAUGUGAAAGCCCACGGGCUCAACCGUGGAGGGUCAUUGGAAACUGGAGAACUUGGGUACAGAAGAGGAAAGCGGAAUUCCACGUGUAGCGGUGAAAUGCGUAGAGAUGUGGAGGAACACCAGUGGCGAAGGCGGCUUUCUGGUCUGUAACUGACGCUGAGGCGCGAAAGCGUGGGGAGCAAACAGGAUUAGAUACCCUGGUAGUCCACGCCGUAAACGAUGAGUGCUAAGUGUUAGGGGGUUUCCGCCCCUUAGUGCUGCAGCUAACGCAUUAAGCACUCCGCCUGGGGAGUACGGCCGCAAAGGCUG